rnacentral:rRNA from 1 species
AAUGAACGCUGGCGGCAGGCCUAACACAUGCAAGUCGAACGGAUCCUUCGGGAUUAGUGGCGGACGGGUGAGUAACGCGUGGGAACAUACCCAAAGGUACGGAAUAGCCUCGGGAAACUGGGAGUAAUACCGUAUGUGCUCGAAAGAGGAAAGAUUUAUCGCCUUUGGAUUGGCCCGCGUUGGAUUAGGUAGUUGGUGGGGUAAUGGCCUACCAAGCCGACGACCCAUAGCUGGUUUGAGAGGAUGAUCAGCCACACUGGGACUGAGACACGGCCCAGACUCCUACGGGAGGCAGCAGUGGGGAAUCUUAGACAAUGGGGGAAACCCUGAUCAAGCCAUGCCGCGUGAUCGAUGAAGGCCUUAGGGUUGUAAAGAUCUUUCAGGUGGGAAGAUAAUGACUGUACCACCAGAAGAAGCCCCGGCUAACUCCGUGCCAGCCGCCGCUGUAA